rnacentral:rRNA from 1 species
AUUGAACGCUGGCGGCAUGCCUUACACAUGCAAGUCGAACGGCAGCACGGGAGCAAUCCUGGUGGCGAGUGGCGAACGGGUGAGUAAUAUAUCGGAACGUGCCCGGUCGUGGGGAUAACGUAGCGAAAGCUACGCUAAUACCGCAUACGAUCUACGGAUGAAAGCGGGGGAUCGCAAGACCUCGCGCGAUUGGAGCGGCCGAUAUCAGAUUAGGUAGUUGGUGAGGUAAAGGCUCACCAAGCCGACGAUCUGUAGCUGGUCUGAGAGGACGACCAGCCACACUGGGACUGAGACACGGCCCAGACUCCUACGGGAGGCAGCAGUGGGGAAUUUUGGACAAAUGGGCGCAAGCCUGAUCCAGCAAUGCCGCGUGC